ACUAGGGGGUGCCACCUUUCAGCUUUGGUUUCAUGGUAACAGAAAAGUUGAUACCCACGUUGUCAGGUUCAGAUCGUGAGAGGACUAUCACUAGUGACAGCUGGUGCAUGUUAUCUCUAUGUUCUACUUCUCAUGCAUGAUUAGUGCAUAUAGCGCCGUGGAGACCUGGCAUUGUAUGGUCUUGUUCUGUAGAAUAAAGUGUGGAAAUCCCCACUAUGUGCACUGAUUACUGAAUGCUAACGCUGCUACAACCAAACUUUGAGUAUGCGAUUCUACUGUGGAAGCACCAGUCUAUGGGAAGCACGUGGACACCAUGAGUUUACAGAGGAAGAAUCAGACUCAAUGGACCAAAGGAAAAAAGAGACAAACUUCGACUCUAACGUCAAUAUUAAGGAGUUAAACCAGAAAAGGAUGGAAGUAAGUCUUUAAAGCUCCUGACGCCUCCCCAGAGGAGCCGUGAAGGAGGAGGAGGAGGAGGAGGAGGAGGAGGAGAGGAAUUCCACCGGAUUCAAAGACUUCUCCGGGUUUGCUUUUGACUCCUCUGCCUUCGCCUUGCCUUCGCCUGGCUCCUCGUGUUGACCUGCUCCUCGUGAUCCCCUGCCAAACCAUCUUCCUGGCCCUGAGGGAGCGUUUCUUGUUUGAAGAGCAGCGGUGGAGCCUGAGGACGCUUUGAGGGGGCUGAGCAGAGCAGAGCUGAGCUGGAGCCGGGCCCCGGACGGUCGGCUGCACCUGAGAGCGAAACCUGGUACCUGAGGGUUUUUUCAACAAAUUAUGAUUUCUUCUGAACCAAUAAUAGGAAGAGCAAGACCUCUCUUCUAUCAGCUUGGCCGUGCAUCCGGGCUAAUUGUUCCCCAGAUGUGAACAUCCACAGCCAUCUAAUCACACUCCAUUGUGAAGUCUGUGUCGGAGUCCAGGUUAAUCUGAACUGAGCGCAGAUUUCAAGAAAAAUCAAAAACAUCCUGAUUGGCUGACAGUCCUGGUUAGCUGUGUGAUUUCAGAGUGACUACGCCAUCUCCAAUGGACCUGGACCUCCUACUGAUGAGUGCUCGAUGGAAUUUUGUUUGAAAGACACUCCUUAGAGAUCUUACCCACACACACACACACACACACACAAACACACACACACACACGCAUGCAAACACACAGACUAUCAGAGAGAGAAAGAGAGUCCAAACUCAUAACUGUCAGUGAUGGACAGGUUGAUGCAGAGACUUUUUGAAGUGACAGAAUGGACCAGGUUUCCGCUGCAGACCCCUUCUGAUUGUUUUGCAUUUUCUUCUUCUUGGCUGCGCUUAGAUGUUCAGUGGGAAAUCACAAUAUUUCUAUUGUUGGUAUUUUUACACGGUGUCUGUCUGGAUUGUUUGACUGGGCAAAUUAACAGGUCUAAUGGUUUGAAUAAUUAGGAAAGCAGUGUUUUGUUUCAACAAGCGCUCUGCCAAACAGCUGAAAGAAGAGGUAAGAAGCAAUUCCCUCCCUGUGUAUACAUGCCAACACAUGAAAGUCAUUUAGCUGCACUUAACUGUCGAAAAACAAUUAGGGCAAAGCAUAACAACGUCUGCAUGCACCACUUCUGUUACAUGUUUUCUGUAUCCUCCCUCUUGCCAGCAGAACAAGUAUUGGCAAUCCUCAAAUGCAAGGUACACUUCAUGAAUUUUACAUUAUGCCUGAUCAUUACCAUAACGAUGCUAUCAAAGAUAUUAGGAGCCUUCAACGCUGUUUUCUCCUACACAGGGUGCUCUCUUAGAUCUCUUGUCAAGAAGGUGGGUAUCAUCUACCAUCAUCUAGCAUAUAGCAUGCACGAGCCCCCGCUCCUAAUGAGUGUGUAUGCAUGUCUGAGUGUACAAUAUGUAAAUCCUUGUGUUGAGUGAUCGAGGUGGAGGGGGGUUGACACUGUCUGUGGGUGUGGGUAUGUGAGCAUGUGUGUCAUAAAUUCUUA